rnacentral:rRNA from 1 species
GUGUUAGCGUGGUACCACGCUCCUAGUAUAUAUCUCGGAACAAGGCAGAUGAACAUACGUCAUGUACGCGUGUACCUCGUGAAGUGCGACGGUAUGUUGAUGGUGAAGCCGAAUACGAACAAGAACCGAGAGGAGGAGGUACGGCAGGAUGCGCGGUUCUUCGGAGCGGGCUCCGACGGAGGGCCGGGCACCGUCGAAGGCCAGUGGCCGUCGGACGUGGUGGACGACGCGCCCGAGGGUGUGGCGUGGUACGCGCUGGAGAGGGAGGCGGUGCCGGGCGAGUACGACGAGGCCCACACGCUCGCGCACCGGUAGCAACAGAGGAGGCGGUUCCGGCGCUCCCUCUAGAUGUCCCCGUUGCUCCGGCGGAAGAGCCUCGCCGAUUCGUCGGGCCCGUAGCUGCUCGAGACGUCCGUACCGGUCCCCUAGCAGAAGCGCGGGAUGCCGCUGGUGACCGCGGACGAGGCUGCCUAGGAGUACUGUCUCGACGAGUCGCGCGCCGCGCAGCUCCGCAAGGCUGCCUAGACGCUCCUCCUCCGCCGGGCGGAGCAGAGCAGCGAAGCCCGCUGCAGGCUGCCGGCCGAGCACUUGUAGCUGCUCGCCGAGCUGCUCAAGUACUGUCUGAGCCGGCACGCGCGGUAGAAGCCCCUGUCCGACGGGCUAUCUCGGCGUAAGGACUUCUAGCAGUUCGUUCCUCACCCGGACAGCAGCGACAAGCUGGAGGCCCUGGAGAAGGGAAGCAGCGCCAAUCGAGCCGAAGACGGCGCGUCGCCGUCCCGCCUCGCCGUCGCAGUUCUGUGCAAGUCCGAGUACCUGUUGUAGGAAUUCUGGGUCCUCCUCUCCUCCUACCCAUCUCUACCUCUACUGCUUGUCCUGUACCAGCUACACAACGACUCCUAGGUCUUUCUUCCGUUGUACGCUCAAAGGGAUAGGCUGCCUCAGUAUUCCCGUGACGAGUAUCUACAGAAGCCACGGCGUGAACUGUGGUGUUGAUGAUAAGAUGUUACCCGCUACCGACUUGAUUACAGUUUGGGUUCCCAGUACGUCGCCCACGUUAGGCUCCGUCUAAUACAAGAGCGUUCUGUACGGUGCCAUGUUCUCCGUAGUGAUUUCUCGUACGUGAUGGAGUUCCACCAAUAAUUUCUCUGGAACGCUGAUGUGGGAGGACGCAGCGAGAAGGGAUUUCACACACGUUCUGACGUUCUAAGUUCCUAUGCUGUAUGGUGCCCCCCGAUGAUACGAUUGGUUUUGUACCCGUUAGAGAUCCCUGGGCUUCAUAACCAUACUCUGUUUUUCCAAGUACGGUCUCUCCAAACUUCCGUUACCACAACGGCUGAAAUCUCCAAACCUGAAGCUCAAGUGAGGAAAGCCACAACCCGCCUCCUAAACGGGACCCUAACUAAAACGUAUACGUUUGCAACUCUAACGUUACCGAUCGGAAUAAAUGGUAAAACUGACCCUCGACGGAGGGUCUCACCUGGGUUCCCUUUAUCUGUACUGUCUCCACAAACCUCGUUGGCAAGCUUCCUUCCGGCUCGAUAAAGACGUAGGGCAAGGAGCAUAGGGGGACAUCUGCUUAUCGUAAAUGUUUUGGUGUACGAGAAAUUAUAUUCAUCGAUACAUGGAACACACUAGUAUUAUAUUUAAAGAUAUUUCAUGUCAAACUAUACGUAUAAAUUUUUUGUACAUCACAAAAUGUUCUUAUGGGGAUGUGUAACACAUAAAAACACAGUGUUUUACCUAAAGUAUUACAGAAUGAGGAUCUGAUAGACAUGUAUAAACGAGGCCAGAUGUUACGGGAAUAGAUACUGUUUCCAGUUAUUACCAGUUUUAUAACGAAGCACAUGAGGGAUUGUG